GAUGAACGCUAGCGGCAGGCCUAAUACAUGCAAGCCGAACGGCAAGUUUGAUAGCAAUAUUGGACCUAGAGUGGCGCAAGGGUGCGUAACACGUAUGCAACCUGCCCGCGACAGGAGGAUAGCUCCCCGAAAGGGGAAUUAACCCUCCAUAACACCAUGAGAAGGCAUCUGAUUAUGGUUAAACCGCAAGGGGUCGCGGAUGGGCAUGCGGUUGAGUAGGGCGUUGGCGAGGUAAAGGCCCACCAAGGCGGUGAUCCAUCGCGGGUCUGAGAGGGUGAUCGAGCAGACGGGAAAUGAGACACGGUCCAGACGUCUACGGGAGGCAGCCGGAGGGAAGCGUGCGCAAUGGGCGAACGCCUGACGGAGCAACGACGCGUGAGUGAUGAAGGUCAUCGGAUCGGAAAACUCUGUUAUUAGGGAAGAGAAUAUGUGUAAGUAACUGUGCACACCUUGACGGUACCUAAUCAGAAAGACACGGCUAACUACGUG
rnacentral:rRNA from 1 species